rnacentral:lncRNA from 1 species
AAAAGGAAGAGGAAUUUUAGGACCUAUGCCAAGGAAAUAUGACGGUUAACCAGUAUGUAGCUAGGUUUGUCAGUUAUCCUAGUUUGCCCUUUAGGAGUGAUAAUUUACUGUGGGUUCAUAGUACUCAACAUUGAGGAGAUGAAAGCAAUUGCCGAGUGUAGCCAAUCUUAGCAAGACCUUCGAUGGACUUUAUUACCAAAGGAUCCUAAUAAAUCUUGAUAAAAAGGAAUUUUGUAAUUAGAUACCCUAGAGGAACUCAAUCAAUGGUUGGAAUUUUGGGAGUCACCCAAACUUUGAUAGGUUUUGAGGGUAAUAUAAUACCUUUAAGGAAGGAUUAUAUAAAGUGAAAUAGAGAGUUUUCGAACAUGUUACAGUCAACCACUUAAGUUUUAAAUCUAUGAGACUGGAAUACAAGUUCUUGGUGAAUGAACCUUAGUUUGGGAGUAUUUAGAAGAGAAGUAACCAACCUAGGAGAACUUAUGAAUCAUAAGAGAAUAUAAGAACGAGAUUAGACCUCCAAGAGAAAUCGAGGAGUUGUGAUGGUAUGUGUGGGACGUAAAUAACCAUUAUAUUCGAGGUUGGUAGUAUAUUAUGAUAAUGAGUUUACACAAAUUCCUAAUAAAUCCAUCCUCUUUCUAGAGACAGAAAAGAAAUGGCCCACUUUGGAAGCAUCCUUCUUUUCUCAUUCAGGAAAGACCUUAAAGUUUUUCCCAAGCGUUAAAACAAUAUAUUCAAGAUUCGUUCAACCAUGCUUGGAAAAAAGUUGUCUAUAUAUAUGUAAUGAUAAAAGAAAGAAUACAAUCUUAGAUACAAUAUCCUAGAAGAUCAAUUAUUAUGAUACCAUAAACCGACCUCCCUAAAACUAAAAUUUCUAAAACACAAGUACUACUAUUAACAAAUUCAGUGAUCUAAAUUACCCAACCUUCACCAGACAUUAGUCAUAAAGAUUUGUUCCUAACUCAUAAUCGACCCGCAUGUGUGCUUGGUAGAGCCCGGGGGCAUGUAUGCAGCUUUUUGAGCGCACAUAAUGUGC